AUGGCAGCCAUGACAAUCACCACCUCGAGCUUCCUCAAGACCUCAUUCCCUGGCGUUUGCAUUCCGGCAGCCACUCGCACCCCCUCCUGUGCCGCCACCCGGCGCACCGGGGCCAUCUGCAACUCCAUCUCCUCCUGCACCCCUCCCUAUGAUCUCAGUUCCUUCAAGUUCAGCCCCAUGAAAGAAUCUGUCGCCUCCCGUGAGAUGAUCCGACGGUACAUGACCGACAUGAUCGCCGAUGUCAACACCGAUGUCAUCAUCAUCGGAACUGGCAGCGCGGGACUGUCCUGCGCCUACGAGCUCUCCAAGGACCCGUCUGUUAACAUCGCCAUCAUCCAACGGUCCGUUUCCCCUGGCGGCAGCGGCUGGCUCGGCAGCCAGCUCUUCUCCGCCAUGGUCGUGCGCAAGCCGGCGCACCUCUUCCUCGAUGAACUCAACAUCGAGUACGACGAGCAGGAGGACUACGUGGUCAUCAAGCAUGCUGCGCUCUUCACCUCCACCGUGCUGAGCCGCCUCCUCGCGCGGCCCAACGUGAAGCUCUUUAACGGCGUCGUCGUGGAAGACUUGGUUGUCAAAGAGCAUCGCGUCACCGGUGUGGUCACCAACUGGGCGCUCGUGUCGAUGAACCAGGACACACACUCACAAACACAAUCACACAUGGACGCCAACGUCAUGGAAGCCAAGAUCGUAGUAAGCUCAUGUGGCCACGAGGGGCUAUUCAGUGCCAACGGAAAGGGAGUCAAACGGCUCGAGGACAUCGGAAUGAUCAAGACGGUGCCCCGAACCGGAAUGGAAGCGCUUGACACGAACGUAUCCGAGGAUGCAAUUGUUGGCUUAACCCGCGAGGUCGUCCCCGGCAUGAUCGUCGCUGGCAUUGAGGUUGCCGAGAUCGACGGGCCCCAGAGGAUGUGCCCAACGUUCGGCGCCACGAUUAUCUCCGGCCAGAAGGCAGCGCACCUGGCACUCAAGGCGCUCGGCCGUCCGAACGGCAUCGACUCGGAGACGGUCCCAGCGUGA
rnacentral:rRNA from 1 species